CAAAGGUUAAUUCCGGUGGCGGAUGGGCAUGCGUCGCAUUAGUUAGUUGGCGGUGUAACGGACCACCAAGACGACGAUGCGUAGGGGUUCUGAGAGGAAGGUCCCCCACACUGGUACUGAGACACGGACCAGACUCCUACGGGAGGCAGCAGUGAGGAAUAUUGGUCAAUGGGCGGGAGCCUGAACCAGCCAAGUCGCGUGAGGGAUGACGGCCCUAUGGGUUGUAAACCUCUUUUGCCGGGGAGCAAAGUGCCGCACGUGUGCGGUUUGGAGAGUACCCGGAGAAAAAGCAUCGGCUAACUCCGUGCCAGCAGCCGCGGUAAUACGGAGGAUGCGAGCGUUAUCCGGAUUUAUUGGGUUUAAAGGGUGCGUAGGCGGACGCUUAAGUCAGCGGUAAAAUUGCGGGGCUCAACCUCGUCGAGCCGUUGAAACUGGGUGCCUUGAGUGGGCGAGAAGUACGCGGAAUGCGUGGUGUAGCGGUGAAAUGCAUAGAUAUCACGCAGAACUCCGAUUGCGAAGGCAGCGUACCGGCGCCCAACUGACGCUGAAGCACGAAGGCGUGGGUAUCGAACAGGAUUAGAUACCCUGGUAGUCCACGCAGUAAACGAUGAAUGCUAGUUGUCCGGGGCGAUUGAGUUCUG
rnacentral:rRNA from 1 species